CUCGUAGGUGGCCAACUAAGUCAGACGUGAAAUCCCUCAGCUUAACUGGGGAACUGCGUCUGAUACUGGAUGGCUUGAGUUUGGGAGAGGGACGCGGAAUUCCAGGUGUAGCGGUGAAAUGCGUAGAUAUCUGGAGGAACACCGGUGGCGAAGGCGGCAUCCUGGACCAAUACUGACACUGAGGAGCGAAAGCCAGGGGAGCAAACG
rnacentral:rRNA from 1 species